AGCUGCCGUAGUCCUGCACCAGGAAGAAAAAGUGCUGAGGAGAAGAAGAAGAAUGAGUUGAAGAUAUGGAAAGAGCCAUCAAGUCCGAGAUGACCAGGACAAUUAGGAACAAACUGGAAAACAAGAGUGGAAAGAAAGCGUCAAAACAGGUAUGUGGCUGUGAGGGAGAGGAAUAUGCUGAGGAGUCGGUGGAAGAUACGAGUAGAGCUCAACAACGGCACCAGCAUGGAAGACACUGAGAAAACACAAGACACAGGAGAUUCUGAGGUGUUGGACAGAUGUUGUGCUCACUCACACCCGCCUACCUAACGUGGUCCAGCUGAUGAUCUGGUUCAGAAGCGGCAGGCCCUGUUUCUGCUGCAGGCUGGAGUGUGUGAGGGACGGCACGUACGCACACACUGCCACAUGGAGCAUCUGUACAGUGUGACAGUACUGUGAAAGCUGGAGCAGUAAUCCAUGACAUAGUUACCUUGGCUUUUCCAAAAAGUCCCGAGAGGAAGGGCCAGAGCGAGAGCACAGCCAGGCCCACAGUCAGCAUGGCGCGAUGGAAGAAACUCACCACCUGGGGGCAGCAAAGAGGAGGAACAUGAGUGGAUACACUUCAAAGGAUCUAAUUAACACUUCACUGCCGCUGUGCCAGACGUGCAUGAACAUGUUUGUGUGAGGUGUAGGAGAACCUGGGUCCUAAACUAAAGUCGAAAAGAAACCAGCUUGAGAGGCAUUAAAGCAGGCAGCUGAGAGAAGAGUAAAUGAGUUUAGCACCUUGUAAGAAUCCAUCGUUGUAUGGUUGGGCUGCGGUGACUUUUUGGGCAUUUUUAACUCCGGCUCCCCACGCCACUAAAGGUGUGAGAGUCUCAGAGGGAUGGCCUGC